CACCUAGUUAAAUCAAUUUGGCAAAACCCUCAAAUCAAAACUAACCCUUUAAUUAAAUUUAACCAAUUCAUUCAAUUCCUUUUGGGAAUAACCAAAUUUGGGCCCCUUUUCCCCAACUUUUCAACAACUCAUCCCCUGCAACCCAACAACUAAUCCCAAGGAAACCCAAUACACAUAACAAAAUACAAUUAUCGAUCCAGUCCAUCAAUUUUGACCCAAAAGAACCCAAUUCCGUCCAGCGUUGUUCCUCCAACGCUUCAACAACAACAAACCGAUCCGCCCGACCCAACCUCUGUACUUGUCCUUCUUCCCAGCAGACACAAAGAACCAGAAAACCCAGAAGAAUCGCGAUCCCAACCCAGACCCAACUCCAGCAAAUCCAGCUGUGUCGUCCUCUCCCAUCCCUCUCUCCUUAUUCUUCUAUUACUAGUGAUAUAUUCAAAUCAUCCAGGUGUCUCCAUCUCCGCGUUUCAAGUGUCCUUGCUUCGAAAGCAAGUGCUCAGAUCUUUUUUCCUUUGGAAAUGGUACAAACUCCAGUUGGUUGAGCCUUAUCUCUUAGAGAAUUCAAAAUUUAUCUUUUGAAUUUUCAUCCAUUCUCCCUCUCGAUUUCACCCUAUUUUUUUCUCCUAUAUAAACAUCCUUAUUCUUCAAGGUUGAGGGGUGGAAAAAAGUUGGGAAACAUUAGGUUAGCUUUAGAGAGAAACGUAGAGAAAAAUUAAGAUUACAGAGCAUUAAAUAGGCAAAAUAUAGGGCGAUAGUGUUGGUAUUGUUGAAGUGUUUGAAUCAUUCAUCCACCGUCCAAUUUUUUUGUUGACAUUUCUUAGUGGAAAAUUGUCUGAACGAAUUUUAUACUUAAGAAGUUUUAGAUAGGUCUUUUCACUUAAUUCAAAGAAGCUAGAAAGUUUCUUGUUCAAAGGUUAGCAAAGUUCUUGGUUGGCUGUUCGAGCUACGAAGUGGUAGGUGGAAGGGUCGUCGUUGCCUGCUUGUUUAGUCCUAGUCGCUGCCCGGAAGAAGGUGAUAUUUCCCCCUUUUCUAUUUUUUAUAAAAUGUAUUUUCUUAGUUAAGACGCUUUGUAUAUCAUUUUGUUUUCGAUCUCACACCUGUAUAAUUUUCUGCAAAAUGAUUGAACAUGGUUUUGAUAGCUGUUUAUAAUCACAAGUUGACUCAUUUGAGGUUCUGUACUCAUAGAAGGUGUGUAUCUCGACUUGUGUUUAAAUCUUCGCUUUUUUAUCAUUGUUUGAUCUUACAUCGGUUUGUUGCUCCCUAUAUCUUAAAUAUAGUAUGUUAUGGCUUAGAUUUUGGUUCAAAUGGUAGUAUACCUCUAAUAAUGUCUGUUAUUUUUUUUAUAAUUUGUUUAAGCUUCGAUUUAUCUAUUGGUUUGCUCUAUUUUUGUCUAUCUUUAUAUCAUAGUCCCUAUUCGAUUCGCGACUCUUUCUGAAACACGAUUUUGAGUAUCGAUUCAUUAAGUGAGUGUAUUUUGGCUUAUCCUCGUAUUUACUUGAAUUUUUGGGCAAAGGACACCAAUUGGGUAUUUAAAUCUUAGGAUCACUGUGUUAACUUGGGUAUUCGAUCUAUUUUAUGUCUAGCAACGUGUUCUUAUGUAUUUAUAUUUGGCUUGCUUCAAUUGUUUACAGAUAAAGGAAUUUUUCUAGUAUGCCUUUUCUUGUCAUUGUAUAAUGCACUAAGUGAUAUAACUUGUUUACAUUGUAGGAGUUAGUUUCUUUUGUUGAAGUUGUUAAAUCAUUAGAUCAUUUUUAUUAUUUUCUUGGAUUAACUUGCCAUGGUUUAGCUUACAUUACAUUUGUUUAAAGUUAGGUAUAUUAUCCUUAAAAUUAGAGAGAACAAGGUUGAUUUGGUUUGAUAAUGUGACUAUUCAAUACUAGUUAUAAUUAGUUUGUUCUCUUUAUAACGUAAAUGUAAAUCUUGUUUAGAACUUUCUUUAAAGCCAAUCAAACUUAGAGAAAAGGUCCCAACCCUUCUUGUUAUUUCCUCUAUUGAUUUUAGUUUUUGUUGAAAGAAUAACGCCCGAAUUAGUAUUAUAUAUUUUUCACUAGUUGUCCUCUAUUUGCAUUAUGUGGAUGUAUGUUCCACUUCCCUUGUGCGUAUGCUAAAAAUUGCUACAGUCAUGUCUUGUUGCAUUUUUGCUAAAGAUGUUAUGCUUGUGAUUUAGUGGAAGUGUCAAUGCUAAUAUUCUCUCUCUUUAUUUGUGUGUGAAACUUCAUUUCGAGUUAUUGAAUCGCGUUUUGUUCUUUGUGAUUCAGAAAGGAUUUUAUAUGUUUUGUUCAGCCUAUUUUGUUACUCUCUUUAUUCAAGCAUCAUUUUCUGUUUGGUUUGCAAGUUCUACCUCAUUUUAUGGAUGAGAGUAAAGUCUUAGAAGGUGGCUAAAAUUAGUGGCGAAAUGAAUGAUUGGCAUGUUAUUUCCGGACUCCACUAGUUUGCCAUAUCCCUUCUUCAAUUUCGUUUUACUGGUCCGUUAAGUCACGAGAUGUCUAUUCUGUCAUGUGCAUAAGCACUUUACUGGAACCUCUAAAAAUUAUACAUUUACUAUCAUUAGAAAUUUUCUUUAGCCUAGCUAGUUCAUACAUGUCGAUUCUUGUUUAUUUAAUCUUCUUUAUAGAAUAGUGUUUGCUACAAACCUUUGAGAAUUGAGUUAAGAUUAGUUUGAUCAUUGUGAGACUGAGCUUUCCAAUUUGUUGUUUGUGAUGGGUUUCACUAGUUAAAAAUAUUGUGUCAAUCUUAUUCAAUAGUGUGUACUAAAAAAUGUCAUCUAAGAUGCUUAUUCUUUUUUUGAAUAUUUACAUUAUUCUUAGCUUUUCCUAGAACAAUUUCUAAAAGGGAUAAAGAUAGAGUUUACAAAAAACAUUGGCCUUGAAUGUAAAAUUGAUGCUCGCUCCUUUUCCUGCGAGUCCUUGGUUAUAAGGAUAAAAUUAGUUUAUCCUUUCAUUACAUGCUUUGACUUCAUUAUAUGGACAUUUACUAAUUUUAUUCUUGUUGUCUUGCAUGUGAAAUCCACUUGAGUUCGUCACGAACCCUUAUCUCCUUCGCUUGCAUUUCGAGAGGGACAUAAAGGCUCAAAAUGCCUUUCGAGUCAAGCGACUCAUAAAAAUUGACGUACAGGUCCCUAAGUCAGAAGAAUUCAAAACAUGCCGAAAAGUUGAAGAUUUUGGGCCUAGAAGCCCAAAUUUAUAUUCUAAGUCUUGUAUUUUGUUCUUCUAGGCCUAAGACCUUGUCUUGUUU
rnacentral:misc_RNA from 1 species